AUUGAACGCUGGCGGCAUGCCUAACACAUGCAAGUCGAACGGCAGCACAGAUAUAGUUUACUAUAUUGGGUGGCGAGUGGCGGACGGGUGAGUAACGCGUGGGUAUAUAACCUAAAGACGGGGACAACUUGCGGAAACGCGAGCUAAUACCGGAUAAGCUCUGAGGAGAAAAGCUGGGGAUCUGGCGACAGACCUGGCGCUUUAGGAGUAACCUGCGUCCAAUUAGCUAGUUGGUAGGGUAAAGGCCUACCAAGGCGACGAUUGGUAGCUGGUCUGAGAGGACGGACAGCCACACUGGGACUGAGACACGGCCCAGACUCCUACGGGAGGCAGCAGUGGGGAAUAUUGGACAAUGGGGGGAACCCUGAUCCAGCAAUGCCGCGUGUGUGAAGAAGGCCUGCGGGUUGUAAAGCACUUUAGUAGGGAGGAGUGUUUGAAGGUUAAGAGCUAUCAAGCAGGACGUUACCUAAAGAAUAAGCACCGGCUAACUCCGUGCCAGCAG
rnacentral:rRNA from 1 species